ensembl:lncRNA
CCAGGAUGUGCCAGAUCCCGGAGAUUCCCAGGAGUGUUCACAUCACGGCCGCUGAGCCAGCGCCAAUGCCCAGGAUGGCCACCAGUUCAGCACCACAGCGCAAGAUGGCCGCCAGCCCAGCGCCAUUGCACAGGAUGGCUGCCAGCUCAGCGUGCCCAGCACCACAGCACGGGAUGGCCGCCGGCCCAGCACCACAGCACAAGAUGGUUGACUCAACGCCUGAGUCUUCCGUCAAGGAGCCACCGGCACGCCAUCAUAGAGGCCGCAGGAGGAGGAGACAGGCGUCAGCCGUUCCUCGAAGCCAGGAGGACGUUCCCGAGCGGGCCGCUGCCGUCCAGGAGGACGUUCCCGAGCGGGCCGCUGCCGUCCAGGAGGACGUUCCCGAGCGGGCCGCUGCCGUCCAGGAGGACGUUCCCGAGCAGGCCGCUGUCGUCCAGGUGGACGUGCCCGAGGUUCCCGAGGCGGGGCUCGAGGUGGUUCUGGAUGCCGAGGCGGUGCCCGAGGCUGUGCCCGAUGCCGAGGCGGUGCCUGAGGCGGUGGCCGAGGUGGUUCCCGAUGCAUGUCCGAGGCCGAGGCAGUGUCCGAGGCCGAGGCAGUGCCCGAUGCCGAGGCAGUGUCCGAGGCCGAGGCAGUGCCCGAUGCCGAGGCGGUGCCCGAGGCCGAGGCGGUGCCCGAGGCGGUGCCCGAUGCCGAGGCGGUGCCCGAUGCGGUGCCAGAGACGGUGCCAGAGACGGUUCCCGAUGUAAUGCCCGAGACCGAGGCUGUGCCGGAGGUCGAGGCGGUGGCCGAUGCCGUUCCGCAGGUCGAGGCGGUGGCCGAUGCCGUUCCGCAGGUCGAGGCGGUGCCCGAGUUGGUUCCAGAGACCGAGGCGGUGCCCGAUGCGCAGGCCGAGGUCGUUCCCGAGGCGGUGCCCGAUGCGCAGGCCGAGGUCGUUCCCGAGGCGGUGCCCUUGUCCAAGGCCGUUCCCGAGGCCGUGCCCGAGGCCGUUCCCGAGGCGGGGGCCUUGUCCAAUGCCGUUCCUGAGGCCGUUCCUGAGGCCAUUCCAGAGGCGGU